UACGGAGGGUGCAAGCGUUAUCCGGAUUUAUUGGGUUUAAAGGGUGCGUAGGCGGCCCUGUAAGUCAGUGGUGAAAUACUGCAGCUUAACUGUAGCAUUGCCAUUGAUACUGCAGGGCUUGAGUACAGAUGAGGUAGGCGGAAUUGAUGGUGUAGCGGUGAAAUGCAUAGAUACCAUCAAGAACACCGAUUGCGAAGGCAGCUUACUAAGCUGUAACUGACGCUGAGGCACGAAAGCGUGGGGAUCGAACAGG
rnacentral:rRNA from 1 species